GGCUUGUUGGUCUAUGGGUAUGAUUUUUGCUUUUCAUGUGAGAGGUCUUGGGUUCAAAUCCCAAACAAGCCC
rnacentral:tRNA from 1 species